GACGAACGCUGGCGGCGUGCUUAACACAUGCAAGUCGAACGGAAAGGCCCUGCUUUUGUGGGGUUCUCGAGUGGCGAACGGGUGAGUAACACGUGAGUAACCUGCCCUUGACUUUGGGAUAACUUCAGGAAACUGGGGCUAAUACCGGAUAGGAGCUCCUGCUGCAUGGUGGGGGUUGGAAAGUUUCGGCGGUUGGGGAUGGACUCGCGGCUUAUCAGCUUGUUGGUGGGGUAGUGGCUUACCAAGGCUUUGAAGGGUAGCCGGCCUGAGAGGGUGACCGGCCACAUUGGGACUGAGAUACGGCCCAGACUCCUACGGGAGGCAGCAGUGGGGAAUAUUGCACAAUGGGCGGAAGCCUGAUGCAGCAACGCCGCGUGCGGGAUGACGGCCUUCGGGUUGUAAACCGCUUUCGCCUGUAACGAAGCGUGAGUGACGGUAAUGGGUAAAGAAGCACCGGCUAACUACGUG
rnacentral:rRNA from 1 species